UACGAAGGGGGCUAGCGUUGUUCGGAAUCACUGGGCGUAAAGCGCACGUAGGCGGAUCUUUAAGUCAGAGGUGAAAUCCUGGAGCUCAACUCCAGAACUGCCUUUGAUACUGGGGAUCUCGAGUCCGGGAGAGGUGAGUGGAACUGCGAGUGUAGAGGUGAAAUUCGUAGAUAUUCGCAAGAACACCAGUGGCGAAGGCGGCUCACUGGCCCGGUACUGACGCUGAGGUGCGAAAGCGUGGGGAGCAAACAGGG
rnacentral:rRNA from 1 species